GGGCGUAGGAUAUUUGAGAGGAUCUGCUCCUAGUACGAGAGGACCAGAGUGGACGCACCUAUGGUGCACCUGUUGUCGCGCCAGCGGCACAGCAGGGUAGCGAUGUGCGGAUGGGAUAAACGCUGAAAGCAUCUAAGCGUGAAACCCACCUCAAGAUUAGAUAUCCCAUAUCAUAAGAUAGUAAGACCCCUUGAAGACUACAAGGUUGAUAGGUCGGAGGUGUAAGCACGGUAACGUGUUCAGCUGACCGAUACUAAUAGGUCGAGGGCUUAAUCAAG
rnacentral:rRNA from 1 species